AGUUGGAGUAAAUAGUUUGUGUUAAGUCGGGUUGUGAUAUUUUAUUUAUUUAUUUUAAUAAUAGAAGAGAGGGAGACGAAAACUGCAAACUGAAGGGAGAAGAAGCGGUGGCUGACUUUGUAUAUUUCUCCUUUCUUUUCAAUUUGAGAAAAUUUCUUUGCAAUUCACUUUGAAAAGGAAAUGAAUAUUUCUCCCUCAGACUUAUCUCUCUCUUCUUUUCAAUUUAUUUUCAAUUUUUUUGUGUGCUUCUCACAGUGUAUGCAUAAUCUCUCUUUUCUUCCUUCUCUUUUCCUUCUCCAAUCAACUUCACCACCGUCUUCCACCUACACCGAACGUCAAGCAAAUUUUUUCCUAUCGUCGCAUAACCGUUAGCCCGAGUCACUCCAGUUCUGUCACGCCAUGUAUGUUUAGAUCUGAAUUGUUCGGUUAUUUGUUGCACCGAUCCGUCUCCGUUAGAAUUUGAUUCUCCACAAUUUGGGUCGGUUCGUUGCACUUUAGUUUGAAAAAGAAGCUUAAGUAAGGUUAUAAGGCAAAGGUAACAAAGGAGGUAGACCGACGAGGGACAAGAAGGAGACGUGAUUGCCAUAAGGGAAUGUUCUUCAAAUGCUUUCGCUUUAUGUUUCUUGUUUUUUCCUUUGUACAUGAGGUUGUUUAAAAAUUUUGUGAUGGAACUGAGUUUACGAACUGUUGUUUUGUAAAUAGUACUUUUAAAGUUUUGGUUAUUUGAAAUAGGGCCCGAACUUAAGUUUGUUUUCUUU